AGGAAUGAAAUGGGGUGUGCAGGUUGAGAGACAUUUCAGGAGAAUCAGGAGGAGUUGACAGCUAAGAGGUAAGGGAGAAAGGAGUGGAGGAUGAACCUUGGGGGCCCGUGGAGAGAAGGGGCUUAACCCAGGGGAGGAGGAAGGAACUAAGGGUGGGGAGCCACCUGAGCCUUUUUGUUCAGGAGUUGAGUCUUUUUCCUGAAAGCGGAGGGAAACCAUUGAAAGGAAGGGAAAUGACUUAAUCAGAUUUGCAUAGAAAGAUCACCCUGGCUCCUGCCCACCUAUUCUGCAAGCUGAAGCCAUAUAGUGCCAAAUUUCCCUUUGUGUUACUUAGGCUUGACCCCUUGCUAAUUUCCUCUUGUUUGAGAUGAAGCAUUAGCCCUGAAAGAUGCCUAUCUGUUCUUCUCAAAGCACCUGGAAUAUGUUAAACAAAGUCCUAUUUAGAUUACAUUGAUUCCUAAUUGCUUUCGGUUUUAUCUUAACACAGUCUCCUGUAAAUUUGCUUUCUACCUUUAGUAGGAUUAUAAUUGGGAAUGUAAACAAGAAAUAUAAACAACUCAAGUUAGAGACCUUCAAUUUAUUGCAGAUAUCUUAGACACUCUCCUUUGGGGAGAAAGGGGCCAAUAAAGUGAACAGUGUCUUAUUAUUAUUAUUUUUAUUACUCAAAUGAAUUUAUCACAUAUGUAGUUGUAUAAUGAUCAUAACAAUCUGAUUUCACAGGAUUUCCAUCCCACAGCCCAAGCACAUCCCCCCACCCCCCAAACUGUCUCCUCCGGAGACCAUAAGUUUUUCAAAGUCUGUGAGUCAGCAUCUGUUCUGCAAAAAAGUUCAGUCUGUCCUUUUUUCAGAUUCCACAUGUCAGUGAUAGCGUUUGAUGUUGGUGUCUCAUUGUCUGACUGACUUCACUUAGCAUGAUAGUUUCUAGGUCCAUCCAUGUUGCUAAAAAUGCUGGUAUUUCGUUCUUUUUAAUGGCUGAGUAAUAUUCCAUUGUGUAUAUGUACCACUUCUUGAUCCACUCCUCUGUCGAUGGACAUUUAGGUUGUUUCCAUGUCUUAGCUGUUGUAAAUAGUGCUGCAAUGAACAUUGGAGUACAUGUGUCUUUGCAAGUCAUGGUUUUCUCUGGAUAAAUGCCCAGAAGUGGGAUUGCUGGAUCAAAUGGUAGUUCUAUUUUUAGUUUUCUGAGGAAUCUGCAUACUGUUUUCCACAGUGGUUGCACCAAUUUACAAUCCCACCCAAUAGUGUAAUAGGGAACACUCAUUACCUGUUUCUACUCCCACAAACCUGUAAUCAGUCUGUCUCUUCCAGAGCAUCGCAGAGAGCGCGCUUACUGUUGUUUGUAAGCGUUUGCAGCUUUUAAGAGCCGAAUGUCUUAAAAGUGUGAGCCUGUGAUCUCAUUUCACUCCUUCUAGCAAUCCUAUGGGAUAGGGAUUAUCAUUCCUAUUUUCAGAUGAGAAAUUGAAGACCAGAGGAUUUAAGAAGCCGCUCAGCUCCUACAGCUAAUAAAUUCUGGAGUUUGAAUCCAGGUUUUCUUAGUUUUUUUUUUAUUACAGCUUCUUCUUAUGGCAAGUUUUAAACAUACACAAAAGUACGAAAGAUGUAUGAGUAUAAAUACCUUAUGUUCACACCCCAGCUUCAGCAGAUACCAACCUGGGGUCAGUUUUAUUUGAUCUCUAACCCCUGCUCUCCUCCCACCUAUGAUUAUUUUAAAGCAAAUCCUAGACAUAUCAUUUAAUCUUUAAUAUGCAUUUUGGAGGUAAGGAUUUUCCUCCCCCUCUUUUUUCCUCUAUAAUCACAAUAUUAUCACACCUAGGAAAAUGAACAGUAGUAAUUCCUAAAUAUUACCUAGAAUCCAUUUGGUGUUCAGUUUCUUCAGUUAUCUCAUAAAUGUCAUUUUAUACUUGGUUUGUUUGAAUUGGGAUCAAAACAAGGACCACCUAUUAUUUCUGGUAAUCCACAGCAAUUUCACCUGUCCUCCCCGCCGCCCAACCCUCCCUGUCUUUUAUUUGUUGAGGGAGAAUCAGGUCAUUCGUUCUGUACAGCUAGUCACAUUCUGGAUUUGGCUUUUUAUAUCCCUUUAAUGUAUUCCUCUAUCCCCCCCCCUUUUUUUUGGCCAUUGCACUUUAUGGGUAGUGCCGUGUGUCACAUCAGCAAGCAGUAAAGGCUGGUUCUCACUUUGUGUGGCAUCGGGAUUGAUCAUUGGGUUCAGGUGUUGGUUAGCACAAUUCCUCUGUUGUAAGUUUCUCAUGAGCCUUUCACAGAAUGAUUUUAGCAGCUGUCACUGGUCAUUGCCUAGCUCUACUGUUUCAUUAGGGGUUGCAAAACAAAUCCAGGUGUACUUGAUGCCAAGUCAUUGCUCUGUUAAAUCCCAUGUCUCCUGAUUAAAGAAAGCUUUUGCAGAACUGCUAUUAAUAAUUCAGCUUAAUAUAUUUUAAAAAUAAAUCUGUAUGCUCCGUUCAGUACUGGUUACUUAUAAUAUUGCUUUCCUGGGUUGGUCUUAGAGGAAUUAUUUGGGAGAGGAAUUCCAGCAUAUUUUUUUUUCUUUUUUGUCUUUUCUGGGACUGCACCUGUGGCAUAUGGAGGUUCCCAGGCUAGGGUUCUAAUCAGCACUGUAGCCACUGGCCUACGCCAGAGCCACAGCAAUGCCAGAUCCUAGCUGAGUCUGUGACCUGCACCACAGCUUACAGCAACGCCGGAUCUUUAACCCACUGAGCCAGGCUGGGGAUUAAACCUGCAACCUCAUGGUUCCUAGUCAGAUUAACCACUGAGCCACAGGGGGAACUCGACCAGCAUAUUUUUUUAAUUGAAAAAAAGAGUAGAAAGGACAGGUGGGGAAAAGUGUAUAUCAUACAGGAAGAAUAAGCUUUUCUUUGUAAAACUCUUUUUUUUUCAGCUCUUUAUAUGUAUGUGUGAGCCAUGAUGUGAAAUAUAUUCCUUAUUGGGGGUUAUAUUCCAAACCAUGUUGGUCUAAUGUUCAGAUGAUCACCCUGAUAUGUAGCAAGUUUCUCAUUCAAGGAUCCAAUUAUGUUCAAAUCUGCUACUUACAAAAUAGUGCCGUGUAUCGAUCUAUUUUAGAAUUUCAUUUAAGGGGUUUUUUGGUUGACUGCCAGUUAACCAGAAUUGCAUUACCCCCAAUGACCUAAUCCUCUACUCUUCAAGUUGAAUACGUGAAUAAAUGUGAACUCUUCCAGGAAUUUUCAUACAUGGCUGAUAUUUUUGAUGCUUCGUUAUCCUUGAGGUAGGGGAGAUGAUUCCACUGGCGUCAUUAAAGGCAUGCUGGAGUCUGAUCAGUUUGAGUUGUUUGGGGAGGAGAAAGAAGUCAGGACUGGGUGAGUGGAGAAACCACCAGCCCCUGGGCUGGCUUCUGAGGCAUAGGAGUGGGGCAGUGGCCGCCAGACAAACCAGGCCCGCGUGGUAGCAAAGGCAGUCCUAGUAUUGUUCCCGCCCUGACAUCAGUGGGUGGGGUAUUUAGUAACAGCAGCCACCAGGCCCCAGGAAAGGCAGACCUUGGAUUAUAGUGUACAGUUAACAUUUUAAAGCUGUGGAGACGUUGGAGUUCCCCGGUGGCCUAGCAGUUAAGGAUUCAGCGUUUUCACUGCUGUGGCUCAGGUUCAGUCCCUGGCCCAGGAACUUCUGCAUGCCCUGGGCACAGCC
rnacentral:lncRNA from 1 species